AAACUUUCAACAACGGAUCUCUUGGCUCUGGCAUCGAUGAAGAACGCAGCGAAACGCGAUAAGUAAUGUGAAUUGCAGAAUUUAGUGAAUCAUCGAAUCUUUGAACGCACAUUGCGCCCGCCAGUAUUCUGGCGGGCAUGCCUGUCGGAGCGUCAUUA
rnacentral:rRNA from 1 species